rnacentral:rRNA from 1 species
CCUGGAAACAGAUGCUAAUACCGGAUAACAANAGAUGAUGCCUAUCAACUGUUUAAAAGAUGGUUCUGCUAUCACUCUUGGAUGGACCUGCGGUGCAUUAGCUAGUUGGUAGGGUAACGGCCUACCAAGGCGAUGAUUUGCAUAGCCGAGUUGAGAGACUGAUCGGCCACAUUGGGACUGAGACACGGCCCAAACUCCUACGGGAGGCAGCAGG